AAGUCGCUGGCUCAGGUGGUUGGAGCAGCUGACUUCUAAUCAGCGGGUCCGGGGUUCGAGUGCCUGGCGAC
rnacentral:tRNA from 1 species